rnacentral:rRNA from 1 species
GGUUCGGCUGUUCGCCGAUUAAAGUGGUACGUGAGCUGGGUUUAGAACGUCGUGAGACAGUUCGGUCCCUAUCUACCGUGGGUGUAGGAAACUUGAGAGGAGCUGUCCCUAGUACGAGAGGACCGGGAUGGACAUCCCUCUGGUGUACCAGUUGUCACGCCCGUGGCAUCGCUGGGUAGCUAAGGAUGGACAGGAUAACCGCUGAAAGCAUCUAAGCGGGAAGCCUCCCUCGAAACCAGGUUUCCCUAUCAGGACCGUGGUAGACCACCACGUUAAUAGGCCGGGUGUGGAAGCGCAGUAAUGCGUGAAGCUAACCGGUACUAAUCGUCCGAUCGGCUUGAUAAA